ensembl:snRNA Gm23691 predicted gene, 23691
GUGCUCGCUUUGGCAGCACAUAAACUAAAAUUGGAAUGAUACACAGAGGAUUAGCAUGGCCCCUGAGCAAGGAUGACAUGCAAAUUUCUGAACUGUUCCAUAUUUUG